UGCCCUCUUCAUCAGCACUAUACUAAAACAGAAACAACACAGGGAAGGUCAGCAGGGCGCUGUUCAAGGAUGACGUGAAAUCCGUGAAGCAUCUCAUAUUUCA